GAUGAACGCUGACAGAAUGCUUAACACAUGCAAGUCAACUGUGGCGGAAGGGUGAGUAACGCGUAAAGCACUUGCCUCACAGAUAGGGACAACAUUUGGAAAAGAAUGCUAAUACCUGAUACUGUGAGAGAGCUUUGCGUCCCAUUAGCUAGUUGGAGAGGUAACGGCUCAACAAGGCGAUGAUGGGUAGCCGGCCUGAGAGGGUGAUGGGCCACAAGGGGACUGAUACCCCGCCCUUACUCCUACGGGAUGCAGGACUGGGUAAUAUUUGACAAUUGACCAAAGUCUGAUCCAGCAAUUCUUUGUGUACUAUGAAGUUUUCUGAAUGUAAAGUGCUUUCCGUUGGGAAGCACUACCAUCAGAAGAAUUGACGGCUAAAUACGUGCCAGCAGCCGCGGUAAUUC
rnacentral:rRNA from 1 species